rnacentral:rRNA from 1 species
AAAUUGAAGAGUUUGAUCAUGGCUCAGAUUGAACGCUGGCGGCAGGCCUAACACAUGCAAGUCGAACGGUAACAGAAAGCAGCUUGCUGCUUUGCUGACGAGUGGCGGACGGGUGAGUAAUGUCUGGGAAACUGCCUGAUGGAGGGGGAUAACUACUGGAAACGGUAGCUAAUACCGCAUAACGUCGCAAGACCAAAGAG